GUGAAAAAGAACCUGAAACCGUGUACGUACAAGCAGUGGGAGCACCUUCGGGUGUGACUGCGUACCUUUUGUAUAAUGGGUCAGCGACUUAUAUUCUGUAGCAAGGUUAACCGUAUAGGGGAGCCGCAGGGAAACCGAGUCUUAACUGGGCGUUAAGUUGCAGGGUAUAGACCCGAAACCCGGUGAUCUAGCCAUGGGCAGGUUGAAGGUUGGGUAACACUAACUGGAGGACCGAACCGACUAAUGUUGAAAAAUUAGCGGAUGACUUGUGGCUGGGGGUGAAAGGCCAAUCAAACCGGGAGAUAGCUGGUUCUCCCCGAAAGCUAUUUAGGUAGCGCCUCGUGAACUCAUCUUCGGGGGUAGAGCACUGUUUCGGCUAGGGGGUCAUCCCGACUUACCAACCCGAUGCAAACUACGAAUACCGAAGAAUGUUAUCACGGGAGACACACGGCGGGUGCUAACGUCCGUCGUGAAGAGGGAAACAACCCAGACCGCCAGCUAAGGUCCCAAAGUCAUGGUUAAGUGGGAAACGAUGUGGGAAGGCACAGACAGCCAGGAUGUUGGCUUAGAAGCAGCCAUCAUUUAAAGAAAGCGUAAUAGCUCACUGGUCGAGUCGGCCUGCGCGGAAGAUGUAACGGGGCUAAACCAUGCACCGAAGCUGCGGCAGCGACACUAUGUGUUGUUGGGUAGGGGAGCGUUCUGUAAGCCUGCGAAGGUGACCUGUGAGGGUUGCUGGAGGUAUCAGAAGUGCGAAUGCUGACAUAAGUAACGAUAAAGCGGGUGAAAAGCCCGCUCGCCGGAAGACCAAGGGUUCCUGUCCAACGUUAAUCGGGGCAGGGUGAGUCGACCCCUAAGGCGAGGCCGAAAGGCGUAGUCGAUGGGAAACAGGUUAAUAUUCCUGUACUUGGUGUUACUGCGAAGGGGGGACGGAGAAGGCUAUGUUAGCCGGGCGACGGUUGUCCCGGUUUAAGCAUGUAGGCUGGUUGUCCAGGCAAAUCCGGAUAAUCAAGGCUGAGGUGUGAUGACGAGGCACUACGGUGCUGAAGUAACAAAUGCCCUGCUUCCAGGAAAAGCCUCUAAGCAUCAGGUAACAUUAAAUCGUACCCCAAACCGACACAGGUGGUCAGGUAGAGAAUACCAAGGCGCUUGAGAGAACUCGGGUGAAGGAACUAGGCAAAAUGGUGCCGUAACUUCGGGAGAAGGCACGCUGGUGUGUAGGUGAAGUCCCUGCGGAUGGAGCUGAGACCAGUCGAAGAUACCAGCUGGCUGCAACUGUUUAUUAAAAACACAGCACUGUGCAAACACGAAAGUGGACGUAUACGGUGUGACGCCUGCCCGGUGCCGGAAGGUUAAUUGAUGGGGUUAUCCGUAAGGAGAAGCUCUUGAUCGAAGCCCCGGUAAACGGCGGCCGUAACUAUAACGGUCCUAAGGUAGCGAAAUUCCUUG
rnacentral:rRNA from 1 species